rnacentral:rRNA from 1 species
GUCAUCCAGUUGAGCGCUGAAGGUAGGUACUUGUACCAACUGGAUGAGCAGCGAACGGGUGAGUAACGCGUGGGGAAUCUGCCUUUGAGCGGGGGACAACAUUUGGAAACGAAUGCUAAUACCGCAUAAAAACUUUAAACACAAGUUUUAAGUUUGAAAGAUGCAAUUGCAUCACUCAAAGAUGAUCCCGCGUUGUAUUAGCUAGUUGGUGAGGUAAAGGCUCACCAAGGCGAUGAUACAUAGCCGACCUGAGAGGGUGAUCGGCCACAUUGGGACUGAGACACGGCCCAAACUCCUACGGGAGGCAGCAGUAGGGAAUCUUCGGCAAUGGACGAAAGUCUGACCGAGCAACGCCGCGUGAGUGAAGAAGGUUUUCGGAUCGUAAAACUCUGUUGGUAGAGAAGAACGUUGGUGAGAGUGGAAAGCUCAUCAAGUGACGGUAACUACCCAGAAAGGGACGGCUAACUACGUGCCAGCAGCCGCGGUAAUACGUAGGUCCCGAGCGUUGUCCGGAUUUAUUGGGCGUAAAGCGAGCGCAGGUGGUUUAUUAAGUCUGGUGUAAAAGGCAGUGGCUCAACCAUUGUAUGCAUUGGAAACUGGUAGACUUGAGUGCAGGAGAGGAGAGUGGAAUUCCAUGUGUAGCGGUGAAAUGCGUAGAUAUAUGGAGGAACACCGGUGGCGAAAGCGGCUCUCUGGCCCUGUAACUGACACUGAGGCUCGAAAGCGUGGGGAGCAAACAGGAUUAGAUACCUUGGUAGUCCACGCCGUAAACGAUGAGUGCUAGAUGUAGGGAGCUAUAAGUUCUCUGUAUCGCAGUUAACGCAAUAAGCACUCCGCCUGGGGAGUACGACCGCAAGGUUGAAACUCAAAGGAAUUGACGGGGGCCCGCACAAGCGGUGGAGCAUGUGGUUUAAUUCGAAGCAACGCGAAGAACCUUACCAGGUCUUGACAUACUCGUGCUAUUCCUAGAGAUAGGAAGUUCCUUCGGGACACGGGAUACAGGUGGUGCAUGGUUGUCGUCAGCUCGUGUCGUGAGAUGUUGGGUUAAGUCCCGCAACGAGCGCAACCCCUAUUGUUAGUUGCCAUCAUUAAGUUGGGCACUCUAACGAGACUGCCGGUGAUAAACCGGAGGAAGGUGGGGAUGACGUCAAAUCAUCAUGCCCCUUAUGACCUGGGCUACACACGUGCUACAAUGGAUGGUACAACGAGUCGCGAGACAGUGAUGUUUAGCUAAUCUCUUAAAACCAUUCUCAGUUCGGAUUGUAGGCUGCAACUCGCCUACAUGAAGUCGGAAUCGCUAGUAAUCGCGGAUCAGCACGCCGCGGUGAAUACGUUCCCGGGCCUUGUACACACCGCCCGUCACACCACGGGAGUUGGGAGUACCCGAAGUAGGUUGCCUAACCGCAA